rnacentral:rRNA from 1 species
UACGGAGGGUGCAAGCGUUGCUCGGAAUUAUUGGGCGUAAAGGGUAGGUAGGUGGUCUCGUUUGUCUGGGGUGAAAGCCUUGAGCUUAACUCAAGAAGUGCCUCAGAAACGGCGAGACUCGAGUAUUGGAGAGGGUCGUGGAAUUCCCAGUGUAGCGGUGAAAUGCGUAGAGAUUGGGAGGAACACCAGAGGCGAAGGCGGCGACCUGGACAAUUACUGACACUCAACUACGAAAGCGUGGGGAGCAAACAGG